rnacentral:rRNA from 1 species
UUUCAAAGCUCUAAGGGCGACCUUAGCGCGUUGUAGACUAAAGGAGUGUUAUCCAUUUUGUACAGCUCAGGUAUAGAUCCGUUGGAACACGGUAUCAUAGAGGGUGAGAAUCCCGUCCAUGACUUGAGAGAAUUUUCUGUGCAUUGUUGCGUUACACUUCCAAAGAGUCGGGUUGUUUGGGAAUGCAGCCCAAAAUGGGUGGUAAACUUCAUCUAAGGCUAAAUAUUGGCAUGAGACCGAUAGCGAACAAGUACCGUGAGGGAAAGAUGAAAAGCACUUUGAAAAGGGAGUCAAAAAGUACGUGAAACCGUUAGGAGGGAAACGAAUAAGGCUAGCAUUUGUGCGUGACAGCAAUCAGCCGGACGCUUGCGCGGACGUGGAAGUGGUGUUUUUUUAAACCUUAGAGAGCUUCUUGAGCGUGCCGAAAGGUGCGAUGCCAAGUGGCCUCACAUUUUUGCGAUUCAUUUUUUAUCCGUGUAGGUGGGAAAGCCGGUGCACUUGCGGUCGGCAUCAGGCCAACAUCAGUUCGGUAUUCUUGCCAAACGAAAGAGACAGCAACCUUAGGGAGAAGGUGGCUGUUGCAUUACUAAUUUUUUUAGUAUGUGUGGCAGCGUUAUAGCUCCCUUUGGAAAAUUUAUUUCUAACGUCGCGGCCCGGACUGAGGAAACGCAGCAGCACGCUUUCUUUAAUUUUUUUGAACAUCUUGUUUGGAGAAAAUAGAGGAAAAUUUUUUGCAGAGCUUCGGCUGGGUUUGCCAGGUGACCAUGACUAUUUCACAAAGAGGUAGUGGUGGAAGCCUAUUUGUUGCAGCCCAUUUUACAAGCCACUGGAGUCUACGCAUUAUACGUGCUUGUGAUGUUGGCGAAAUGGCCUUAUCUGACCCGUCUGAAACACGGACCAAGGAGUCUAACAUAUGCGCGAGUCUUUGGGUGACAAGCCCGCAGGCACAAUGAAAGUGAAGGCGUUGCCAUUUUUUUGUCGCACGCUGAGGUGAGACGCCUAUUUCCUCGGGAGUAGGCCGCAUCAUCGACCGAUCCGGAAGGGUUGGGAUUAGGUUCGCCUAGUCCCAAAUAUCUGAAAGAUUUGAGUAAGAGCGCAUCUGUUGGGACCCGAAAGAUGGUGAACUAUGCCUGAACAGGGUGAAGUCUGAGGAAACUCAGAUGGAGGCUCGCAGCGAUUCUGACGUGCAAAUCGAUCGUCUGAUUUGGGUAUAGGGGCGAAAGACUAAUCGAACCAUCUAGUAGCUGGUUCCCUCCGAAAUUUCCCUCAGGAUAGCUGGAACUCGAAACGCAGUUUUAUCAGGUAAAGCGAAUGAUUAGAGGCCUUGGGGUCGAAAUGACCUCAACCUAUUCUCAAACUUUAAAUAGGUAAGAAGUGCGGCUUGCUUAAGUGAAGUCGUGCCAACCGAAUGCAAGAGUUUCAAGUGGGCCAUUUUUGGUAAGCAGAACUGGCGAUGCGGGAUGAACUGAACGCAAAGUUAAAGUGCCAAAGUUCACGCUCACCUAGAACCCAUAAAAGGUGUUGGCUGAUAAAGACAGCAGGACGGUGGCCAUGGAAGUCGGAACCCGCUAAGGAGUGUGUAACAACUCACCUGCCGAAUCAGCCAGCCCUGAAAAUGGAUGGCGCUCAAGCGUGACACUCAUACUUUGCCGUUGCUGCAAACAAGGCAGAUGCAUACUCUUUUUUUUGCCGCAACGAGUAGGAGGGCGCGGAGGUAAGUGAAGCAGCCUAGGGCGUGAGCCCGGGUGAAACUGCC